AGUGAACGCUGGCGGUAGGCCUAACACAUGCAAGUCGAACGGCAGCACAGUAAGAGCUUGCUCUUACGGGUGGCGAGUGGCGGACGGGUGAGGAAUACAUCGGAAUCUACUUUUUCGUGGGGGAUAACGUAGGGAAACUUACGCUAAUACCGCAUACGACCUACGGGUGAAAGCAGGGGAUCUUCGGACCUUGCGUGAUUGAAUGAGCCGAUGUCGGAUUAGCUAGUUGGCGGGGUAAAGGCCCACCAAGGCGACGAUCCGUAGCUGGUCUGAGAGGAUGAUCAGCCACACUGGAACUGAGACACGGUCCAGACUCCUACGGGAGGCAGCAGUGGGGAAUAUUGGACAAAGGGCGCAAGCCUGAUCCAGCCAUACCGCGUGGGUGAAGAAGGCCUUCGGGUUGUAAAGCCCUUUUGUUGGGAAAGAAAAGCAGAAGGUUAAUACCCCGCUGUUCUGACGGUACCCAAAGAAUAAGCACCGGCUAACUUCGUG
rnacentral:rRNA from 1 species